UACGGAGGGUGCAAGCGUUGUCCGGAAUCACUGGGCGUAAAGGGCGCGUAGGCGGCCUGGUAAGUAGGGGGUGAAAUCCUGCGGCUUAACCGCAGGGCUGCCUUCUAAACUGUCAGGCUUGAGCACGGUAGAGGCAGAUGGAAUUCCCGGUGUAGCGGUGGAAUGCGUAGAGAUCGGGAAGAACAUCAGUGGCGAAAGCGGCUCUCUGGGGGUUUUCUGACGCUGAGGCGCGAAAGCGUGGGGAGCGAACCGG
rnacentral:rRNA from 1 species